AAGUGAUAUAGAAAGCCCACAAGUAGUUUUUAGACACACUGUCUACCCUUAGGAGCAAACAAUGCCAAUAACAACAAAAACAAAAAUGGUUUCUCUAUAAACUUUUCUCAUUCUGUUUUACUAGAAGGGAAAAUACAAAGAUGUCAGUCCUCAAAUUCUCUAAUUUAGAUGCUCAUCUUUUGCGUCUAUAGGGUAGAUUUUGUCUUGCAUUUUCCAAUUUGUUGGGUUUAUAUACAAUUUUCACUCUCUUUUACAAGAGCUCUAAGCCAUCCCUUAUAUGAUUGAUAGAUAUCAACAAUAGUUCUUUCUCGGUAACUUCCAGUGGGUGCCCCGUGUAUUCUCACAAGUAUAGUCUUUGCUUCUCCCUCCAUCUUCCUGCAGCUCUUGCUCUGGCUCCCUUCGGCUGGUGCUUAUCGUCCUCGGGAACUCCUGAAGGACCAUUUAUCUCCAUUACUUCUAAGAAUGUUCUUUGUGAUAUUACCAGUGCAGAUGCCAGGGCCUCAAACAUUCCCAAAGCAGCCUGGGAUUCUUUACCUGAGUUUGGAAAAUGACUCACUCCACAGGUCCAAGCCACAGGUGCAGCUGAGUAAAUCAGUCCAAGUUAUGAAUAAUCAGUAUGAAAUUGAUGCACAUACCUCUGGUGAUCAGAACCAACUGAAAUUGAGGAUAAUGGAGAGUCUUCCUGGAGAAAAGACAGGGACAAAAACACCGAGUAAUAACAUCUCAUGUAUAAUUUGUUGAAAAAAAGAAUUCCUCAGCUAAUUUAUCUACUACAUUUUUUUCCCUCUAAGAAGCAGCUUUAUCUUCAUCAAUCUUUCUUGGUCAUUGACCAAAUGAAGAGAGACCUGAGUGAGUUUUGGUGGCAGGAGAGAGAAAAUGGAGGCUGCAGUUUCUGCUGCUGUUUGGUGACAUGUGGCAGUGAGAAGGAGUGGCCCACUAGAGGAGACCAGCUGGAGCAGCCACAGGCAUCACAGUUUGGUUUGCCUGUCUUGUUUGUUAUUCAUAGCUUUUGCAGGCUAUUGUUUUGAAACCUUAUAAGACCCUGCAGGAGUGACUAUCAGACCCAAGUCCACUUGAAAGUUUCUUUUUAUGUCUGGUUUGAAAAACUGACACAGCGAGCUCUUGCUUUUUAUCCACUUCAACCUCACACUCACACCUGUAAGAUCUGAGAAAUCGACUGUCAUCAGUCCUUCUAUUUUUCUUUAGGUCAUUUGUCUUGCCCAAACAGUCUGACAAGACAAGGAGUAGUUUGGCCCUAGUUUAGGUGGAAGGGGAUUAAAAAAGCAAGGUGAGGAAAGG
rnacentral:lncRNA from 1 species